CCGACCUUGUGUGUGGCAUCUCUCCAAACCCCCUCGACCGUCUGGACUUCUCCGAUAGUGAACUUCUGCAUUCGUCUACUGGGCCGCCGCAAAAGCUCUUUGGGCCUCACCACCAGCCGACCUUCUACAGUGAUCAACUAUUCAUCGAACUUCUUUUGGACUUCGCCAAUAUCCGAGCUUCUUCGGUAAUGAGAUUUCUACAGUAAUCAGACUCCACCCAAGUUUCUACGAUGG
rnacentral:lncRNA from 1 species